rnacentral:lncRNA from 1 species
CACCAACUUCUUCCUUCUUAGUCUGUAUUUAUGACAGAGUGUAAACUAUUGGAAUGCAGCAUUCAAAUUGACACCAUAUUCAUUCUUCUUGACAAAAGCGACCACUGAAAAGAAGAGAUAUCCUUUUGAUUAAGUAGCGUAGUAGUAUUUAACUGACUUUAUGAAGAACUCCUUAUUACACUUAUUUGGAGAUUCUGCCAUUCAAUUUAUUUUACUUCAGGCUAUGUACCAAGGGAGGAGCAUUUCAUGCCCUGGCUUGUGCGUAUUGUAUUUUAUAGCAAAAACUUCACUGGAAACUAUUAAAAGGUCCAUUAAAAGGUUCUCAUUUAUAAAAACUAUUUCGGUCUAACUGUUUCAGGAAAAACAAAACAAAACAAAAAAACCCAACUUGAUGUGCUUUAAAAUAAACUGAGGAAUGUGUUGUUCAUCUGAAAAUACAGACAUUGUUUUGUCAGAACUUGAGAUAUCUCUACUUAAAAGUUUCUUGUUUCAUCAAAAAGUAAAACUGUUUUCUAAAUUUCAGUGUAAAGAUUCAUUUGUUGUGAAAUAUCUUUGUUUGAGAGCUUCCUGUUGGAAAAUUGUGCAUGAUCAAACAUGCUAGAUACAAACAAUUAAAUACAGAAAUUGAGUUAAUUACUUAUUUAUGGCUGAGACUGAACGUAAAGGUAAUUUCCUGCUCUGUGGCCUAUGAUGCUAAGUUUGAAGUGAUAGGCACUGUUGAGUCAAGUAGCUGAGGGAGCAGUGUAGUAUUGCUUCUUCAGUGAGCUAUGUGAUUUGAUCAUUGAAUUAUCUCAUGGACCGCAAGAGAUGAAUAUAACAGGAUUAGCUAAAGGACCACAAAUCUUGGUGUCUUCCACAAGUUGUUUCAGCCAAUCAUUUCCACUCUAAAUUGUUGCCUGUGUUUGUAAGACAAAUCUUACAAAAAAGGUUUUGAGUAAAUAACUCAGCAAACACCAAUCAUAAAUUCUUCAAUAAUGUAUUACUCAAAACCUUUCAGCCUUUCUUUCGAUGAAUAAUAAAUAGUCGCAGUGAGAAUGUUCUUAACAUACUACAGCUAAAAAAACCUAUUCAAACUGCUGUAGAAAAACAUGAAGUAAGAGUAUUUACUGGGUUUUGUUGGUUGGUUGUGGUUUUUUAAUUUAUUUGUAUUGUUAAAAGAAUUGCCCCCGUUGUCAAGAAAAAACUGCAUGGUGAAUAGAGUGACACUGAGCAUUGCUGUAUUUUAUAUCCAUAUUAUGUGAGUAGAUGGAAUGCUUCCACUUUUUUCAUGCUUUUAUAAGGACUAAGAAAUGUUGAACUAAUUUUGAUCAUGUCACUUAAUUGAUCAUGGUUGUAAAGUUCACAUUUUUUUUUU